CUCGAUGCAAAGACCCGGGCCAAGCAGCCAGAGCCAAACUGAAUAACUUCGCUCUUUACUUGUCGUGCUCAAACUAUUCCUAGUUAUAGGCUGGCUUGAUUAACUUGAGUAUCUCUUGGUAUCUUGCUUUCUAAUAUACAAUUUACAGCUGCUUCAUAUUUGAUUCCAAAUUUACUCAUGAUUAAGGAGGCAAUUAUCUAAAAUCUUGACUUGAAAGCAUUAUAAUGCUACUUAUUUGUCUUACUUCAGGCCAAACAAUUUUCCUUCCAGUAUAACUCAAAAUUGGACCAGCUUUUUUAUUUAUAUCACUUUCUAGCUCCAUUAGGUAAAGUAUGAGUUCUUGUACCUAUAAUUUACAUGUAUGAAAUGUUUUAUGCAACAUUUUACCAUAUCAUCCUGUUGAAUCCAUGUAA